GGCGGGGCUGAGGAGAUGAGCCGGCAGGAGGAGGGGCGGUGUCGGUCACGUGAGUUCGUUUCAGUGUUUACACGCGAAGCGGGCCGAACGUUUGGCCUCAGUCAGGCGCUGGGCUCCGUUUCGGUU
rfam:Otolemur garnettii contig176910, whole genome shotgun sequence.